AGCCAUGCAUGUCUCAGUACAAGCCAAAUUAAGGUGAAACCGCGAAAGGCUCAUUAAAUCAGUUAUGGUUCCUUAGAUCGUACCCACAAUUACUUGGAUAACUGUGGUAAUUCUAGAGCUAAUACAUGCAAACAGAGCUCCGACCGGAGACGGAAGGAGUGCUUUUAUUAGAUCAAAACCAAUCGGUGGCGAGUUCGCUCGUCAUCGUACAACUUGGUGACUCUGAAUAACUUUACGCUGAUCGCACGGUCUCGCACCGGCGACGCAUCUUUCAAAUGUCUGCCUUAUCAACUGUCGAUGGUAGGUUCUGCGCCUACCAUGGUUGUAACGGGUAACGGGGAAUCAGGGUUCGAUUCCGGAGAGGGAGCCUGAGAAACGGCUACCACAUCCAAGGAAGGCAGCAGGCGCGCAAAUUACCCACUCCCGGCACGGGGAGGUAGUGACGAAAAAUAACGAUACGGGACUCAUCCGAGGCCCCGUAAUCGGAAUGAGUACACUCUAAACCCUUUAACGAGGAUCAAUUGGAGGGCAAGUCUGGUGCCAGCAGCCGCGGUAAUUCCAGCUCCAAUAGCGUAUAUUAAAGU
rnacentral:rRNA from 1 species